GCGGCCGCGGCGGCCCGGGCUGUAGCGGGCCGGGGCGGUUGGGGCUGGUGGCUGCGGCUGUCGCGGCCAUGGAAUGGAGUUCCGAGUCGGCGGCCGUGAGGCGGCACCGCGGCGCCGCGGAGCGUCGGGAGGGACCGGCGGCCGCGCCGCACCGGGAGAGAGAGGCCUCGGCGCGGGAGGAUGCGAGCGGCGGCGGGCGGACGCGGAGGAGGAGCUCGGAGAGCGGAGGCGCAAGCCGGGGCGCGGGGACCGCGCUGUCCGAGGCGCGCACGGUGCUGGCGCUCGCACUCUACCUGCUCGCACUGCGGGCGCUCGUGCAGCUCUCGCUGCAGCGGCUGGUGCUGAGCCGGACCGCAGGGCUCCAGGGCGAGUUCGACGCGCACCAAGCCAGGGAUUAUCUGGAACACAUAACAGCCAUUGGUCCCAGGACUACAGGAAGUGCCGAAAAUGAAAUUCUGACAGUGCAGUACCUUUUGGAGCAGAUCAAACUGAUUGAAGUACAAAGCAACAGCCUCCACAGAAUUUCAGUAGAUAUACAAAGGCCCACAGGUUCCUUUAGCAUUGACUUCUUGGGAGGUUUUACAAGCUACUAUGACAACAUUACUAAUGUUGUGGUAAAGCUGGAACCCCGAGGUGGAGCCCAGCAUGCUGUACUGGCUAACUGUCACUUUGACUCAGUGGCAAAUUCACCAGGUGCCAGUGAUGAUGCAGUUAGCUGUGCAGUGAUGCUCGAAGUUCUCCGAGGCAUGGCAGUGUCGUCAGAACCCUUGCAGCAUGCUGUGGUGUUUCUCUUCAAUGGUGCCGAGGAAAAUGUCUUGCAAGCCAGUCAUGGUUUUAUUACUCAGCAUCCCUGGGCCAGUUUGAUUCGUGCAUUUCUUAACCUGGAGGCAGCAGGUGUCGGAGGGAAGGAACUUGUAUUCCAAACAGGCCCUGAAAACCCUUGGUUGGUCCAGGCUUAUGUUUCAGCAGCCAAACACCCAUUUGCUUCUGUGGUGGCUCAGGAGGUUUUUCAGAGUGGAAUCAUUCCUUCCGAUACUGACUUCCGAAUCUAUAGGGAUUUUGGAAACAUUCCAGGAAUAGACUUAGCUUUUAUUGAGAAUGGCUACAUAUAUCACACCAAGUACGACACAGCGGACAGAAUUCUCAUAGAUUCCAUUCAGAGAGCAGGUGACAACAUUUUAGCAGUUCUUAAAUACCUAGCUACAUCCGACAUGCUGGCGUCUUCGUCUGAGUAUCGGCAUGGAAACAUGGUCUUCUUUGACGUGUUCGGCCUGCUUGUCAUCGCGUACCCUUCUCGUGUUGGCGCAAUAAUAAACUACAUGGUGGUCAUGGCUGUUGUUCUGUACCUGGGGACAAAACUGCUGCAGCCCAGACACAGGAAUGCUGACUACACGAGAGACUUCCUGUGCGGACUUGCCAUCACUUUCAUUAGCUGGUUCACCAGCCUUGUCACUGUUCUCAUCAUAGCAGUGUUCGUCUCCCUCAUCGGACAGUCUCUCUCGUGGUACAACCACUUCUAUGUGGCUGUCUGCCUGUAUGGAACGGCAACCGUGGCCAAAAUCAUACUCAUACACACGCUUGCAAAACGGUUUUAUUAUGUGAAUGUCAGCAACCAGUAUCUGGGAGAAGUGUUCUUUGACACUGCAUUGUCUGUGCACUGUGCCUUUCUUGUUGCUCUCACUUACCAAGGAUUUUGCUCUGCAUUCAUGAGUGCUGUCUGGGUAGCAUUUCCUUUGCUCACAAAGCUUUGCGUGUACAAGGACUUCAACAAGCACGGUGCCCAAGGAAGAUUUAUUGCUCUUUACCUUUUGGGGAUGUUUAUCCCAUAUCUUUAUGGACUGUAUCUCAUCUGGGCUGUAUUUGAGAUGUUUACUCCUAUUCUUGGAAGAAGUGGUUCAGAAAUACCCCCAGAUGUUGUACUAGCCUCCAUUUUGGCCAUCUGUGUGAUGAUUCUCUCCUCCUAUUUUAUUAAAUUCAUCUACCUUGUGAAAAGCACAAAGAAAACCAUGCUGACUCUGACACUGGUGUGUGCAGUCACGUUCCUCCUUGUCUGCAGUGGAACCUUUUUCCCAUACAGCUCCAAUCCUGCGAGUCCAAAGCCAAAGAGAGUGUUCCUUCAGCACAUGAGUAGAACUUUUCAUAACUUGGAAGGAAAUGUAGUAAAAAGAGACUCUGGAAUAUGGAUCAAUGGGUUUGAUUACACUGGAAUGUCUCACAUAACACCUCACAUUCCUGAGAUCAAUGAUACAAUCCGAGCUCACUGUGAGGAGAAUGCCCCACUCUGUGGCUUCCCUUGGUAUCUGCCAGUGCACUUUCUGAUCAGGAAAAAUUGGUAUCUUCCGGCUCCAGAAAUUUCUCCAAGAAAUCCUGCUCAUUUCAGACUUAUAUCCAAAGAGAAGACACCAUGGGAUUCUAUAAAGUUGACCUUUGAAGCAACAGGACCAAGCCAUAUGUCUUUCUAUGUUCGGACCCACAAAGGAUCAACACUUUCUCAGUGGUCUCUUGGCAAUGGCACUCCAGUCACAAGCAGAGGAGGGGACUACUUUGUCUUUUAUUCCCAUGGACUCCAGGCCUCUGCAUGGCAGUUCUGGAUAGAAGUACAGGUAUCAGAAGAACAGCCAGAAGGAAUGGUCACGGUGGCCAUUGCUGCCCACUACCUAUCAGGGGAAGACAAGAGAUCUUCUCAGCUUGAUGCUCUGAAGGAGAAGUUCCCGGACUGGACAUUCCCCUCUGCGUGGGUUUGCACCUACAGUCUCUUUGUGUUUUAAUAGUGCUUCGAGUACAUGCCCCAUGGACAUUCCAUUGGGCAGUUUCUCUCCCAUGUUAUAUGUUAUAUAUCCCAAGUCAAUGAAUUUUAAUGAGCGUAUGUUCAAAGAACUUUUGAUAUAACACUCUUCAAGGCCAAGUACCAUAUGGGUUAAACUCUGGGGUAGUGGCACCUGGCCUUUUUGUCACUUGAAAAUUCCAGUUUUCUGGCACUUAAGCACACGUGGAUACUGCCAUUCAUAGAGUCAUUUAUAUGACUGUAAGGACUCAGCAACAUACCACUUCAGUAGCUUUCCUUUGCAGAUCAAGGAAGAUGUACACUGUUAGACUCCUGUUAAUGAAAUAGAAGGACCAGAUGGCAUACUUAGUGUUUUCUGUAAGUUGAAUUUACCAGGAGGAACAUUUUCAGCUGACUGAGAUAAACUGAUGCUCCGAUUCCUGAAGAACUCAAAUCCUCCACUUGAACUGGGCUCCUGCGGUCACACACAGCAUACAGUAGUUUUAGCCAAAGAUGCCCUGUGGGUGUAUGCCCUAAAGAAGCUGUACAAUUCUGCAACUAACCUGAGCUGUAGGUGUGGAGGGAGGGGUCUCAGCUUCUCCAGAACCAAUGGCUUUAAGAAAUCGAAUCAUAUGUCGACACAGGUCCCAUUUGCCUUGUUCCAGUGCUGUGUUGAACAGGAGGGUGGCAUGCUGCCUGCUAACUGCAGGGACUUCCAUAUUCUACACGAACAACAAGGAAGACGACAAUCCAUUUACAGGAUACACUUUAAUAGGCAGAGCCGUUCUUUUCUUGAUACUUCCCUCAGCCCAAGGAAUUAGCUGGCUGGGGGCAACAGAAUACUAAAAGGAGCGUUUAGAAGGACCGUACGGGGAAAGCGAGGCAGCUGCUCUGCUAGGAGUGUUCCCUCUAUGACUCACUGCACUGUUACACGUUAGACAUCUCUUACAUUCCUCACGCCUUUCUUUCUCUUUACUGUAAAAAGUUACAUCAUUCCCAGUUUACAGGGUCAGAAAAAAGAAGUUAUCUCAAUUGUUUAAGGUCAGUAGAAAAGCAAGAUCGAUCUAGUAUUACCUGACUCCAAAACACUCGGUCUGUCUCCUAGAGUGUUUUCUGAAGAGCUGACAAAGUUUUGCCUCCAACAGGACCAGGCAGCAGCACUACUGCACACUGGGCAUGGCCAGCACUUCCUUCCCACUCUGGCCCUGCCUGCUUUCACGAAAGCUGCCUGACAGGCUGAGCUUAGUUACAGCCCCUUUCCCACCAACCUAGGCAGUCUGUGGGGGCAAAGUCCCCACUCCACAAUGGGGACAGCAACAAGGGUCAGCAGAAGAAGAACACAGCUACCUGGACUUUCUUUUUUAUGAACAUUAGGACUGACUAGCCAAAUGAAUCCCAGAAGCUCAGGGCCGCGAGCCUCUGCUUGAGUAUCUCCUCUGGUUUCAGUUCAUUGUCAUGAAGUUAAAUAAUGUCGUAAAAAGUUUGCUUCAGUCUGAGAUUCAAACUGGGUUUAUGGUUAGCUUGUUGUAUAAAUGAAAGAACUUUAGUGCAGCCUUUGAAAUCCACAUCAGAUUUACAGUAGUAACAAGCUUUCUAGCCCUUUUAUCAAAUAUAUAAUGAAAUGAAUUUUCCGGGGUCUCAUUAUUUUGAGAAAAAUGUGUUAUGAAGGUUAUUAUUGUGGCAGUCCUGAACCUUCUUGGCUGUCCAUAGAAAGGCUAAGAUUGGAUGCUGUGUUAAAGUUAUUCAGAAUCCUUUCAGCAAUUUCACAUUGUAAGAAAAAAAAUCUAUUAUUGUGGUAAUGAAUGCACUAAUGUCCAAAGUACCAUUUUUUUCACUGUUAAUGUUUCUUACAUGAGUCUAAUGUAGUAUUUCUAAUGGAACAUGUACAUCAUAUAUAUU